rnacentral:lncRNA from 1 species
AAUUUUGAGGAGAUAGGAUGAGAUCAAGGACAAGAAGCAUUUCUGGAAAUGAAGGUAGAAUCUGUGUAAACAAUUGAGUAAAUUUGCUGAUAUUGGUUUCUAGAAGGGCGUGCAUGGACUUUGGGUCAGAAAUUCUGAGCUUAAAUCGUGGCUUCAUCACUUACCAGCUGUGUGAUCUUAAUCAAGUUAACAUUUCUAAGCCUCAGUUGCUUCAUCUAUAAAACGGGGAUAAUAAUAGUCCCUGACUCAGAGGUGUCUUGCGCAUAUUCUCACUCAUAGGUGGGAAUUGAACAAUGAAAACACAUGGACACAGGAAGGGGAACAUCACACUCUGGGGACUGUUGUGGGGUAGGGGGAGUGGGGAGGGAUAGCAUUGGGAGAUAUACCUAAUGCUAGAUGAUGAGUUAGUGGGUGCAGCACACCAGCAUGGCACAUGUAUACAUAUGUAACUAACCUGCACAUUGUGCACAUGUACCCUAAAACUUAAAGUAUAAUAAUAANNNNNNNNNNAAACAAGGCAAAAAUCACAUCGCUACAAAAAAACACAAAAGUUAGCUGGGCAUGGUGGGUGUCACCUGUGGUCUCAGCUAAUCACAAAGCUGAGGUGGGAGGAUCACUUGAGCCCAGGAAGCAGAGGUUGCGGUGAGCAGUGAUUGCACCACUGCACUCCAGCCUGGGUAACAGAGCAAGGCCCUAGAAAAAUAAAAGAGAGAGAGAGAGAAAGAAAAGAAAGGGAGAAA